rnacentral:tRNA from 1 species
GGAUUGUGACUCAGUGGUAGAGCGCUCGCCUAGCACAUGUGAGGCACUGGGUUCGAUCCUCAGCACCA